rnacentral:snoRNA from 1 species
UCCUAGUGAAGAAACAUUCACACAUCUUAACUCUUGUCCUAGUCUCAGACCCUGUAAAAGUGAACCCACAGGGGCUGGCUGGAGAAAAAGAGGAAAGCUUGUUUCAGAAGGAAUUGUCCAAGUAAU